rnacentral:rRNA from 1 species
GGGGCAGCGGAUGCUUAGCUUGCUAAGUAUGCCGGCGACCGGCGCACGGGUGAGUAGCGCGUACCGAACCUGCCCAUCACACAGGGAUAGGCUUGCGAAAGCAAGAUUAAUACCUGAUGGUCUCAGUUGUAUGCAUGUAUGAUUGAGUAAAGCCUUCGGGCGGUGAUGGAUGGCGGUGCGUCCCAUUAGGAAGUUGGCGGGGUAACGGCCCACCAAUCCUUCGAUGGGUAGGGGUUCUGAGAGGAAGGUCCCCCACAUUGGAACUGAGAUACGGUCCAAACUCCUACGGGAGGCAGCAGUGAGGAAUAUUGGUCAAUGGGCGAGAGCCUGAACCAGCCAAGUAGCGUGCGGGAUGAAGGCCCUUGUGGUCGUAAACCGCUUUUAUCAGUGAAUAAAGUGCACCACGUGUGGUGUCAUUGCAGGUAGCUGAAGAAAAAGGACCGGCUAAUUCCGUGCCAGCAGCCGCGGUAAUACGGAAGGUCCGGGCGUUAUCCGGAAUUAUUGGGUUUAAAGGGAGCGCAGGCGGGAGUAUAAGUCAGCUGUUAAAUAUCAGAGCCCAACUCUGUUAUGCAGUUGAAACUAUAUUUCUUGAGUACGCACAGGGAUGGCGGAAUUCAGGGUGUAGCGGUGAAAUGCUUAGAUAUCCUGAAG